rnacentral:lncRNA from 1 species
AAGAAAGUCUGAUCUUGGGUCGGAGAGGUCACAAAUAGGCUCCUAAUGCUUGGAUAUGCUGGAGAGAGGCUGGAGAGGCCUCAAAGCCAUGAAUUUGAGUAGAUUUGAAAGAACACCAUCGAGGUCAGACCUCAAAACAUCGAACACCCAGGGUUUAAUGGUGGUGGGGGUGAGUACAGGUCAUCCAUGGACUGAGAAGCCAUGGAUUCCAUUGAGGUUAUGGUCGGAGAAAUGACCGAGGCUAGGGUUCCAGGGAACCUUGGAGAAAGUUUGAGAAAGGGAGAGUAUCCAAAGGCGGC